CCACGGGAGGCAGCAGUGAGGAAUAUUGGUCAAUGGGCGCGAGCCUGAACCAGCCAAGUAGCGUGAAGGAUGACUGCCCUACGGGUUGUAAACUUCUUUUAUAAAGGAAUAAAGUGAGGCACGUGUGCCUUUUUGUAUGUACUUUAUGAAUACGGAUCGGCUAACUCCGUGCCAGCAGCCGCGGUAAUACGGAGGAUCCGAGCGUUAUCCGGAUUUAUUGGGUUUAAAGGUAGCGUAGAUGGGUUGUUAAGUCAGUUGUGAAAGUUUGCGGUUCAACCGUAAAAUUGCAAUUGAUACUGGCAGUCUUGAGUACAGUAGAGGUAGGCGGAAUUCGUGGUGUAGCGGUGAAAUGCGUAGAUAUCACGAAGAACCCCGAUUGCGAAGGCAGCUUACUAAACUGUGACUGACAUUGAGGCUCGAAAGUGUGGGUAGCAAACAGGAUUAGAUACCCGAGUAGUC
rnacentral:rRNA from 1 species